CGGGUGAACCUGCGGAAGGAUCAUUAAAGAGUAAGGGUGCUCAGCGCCCGACCUCCAACCCUUUGUUGUUAAAACUACCUUGUUGCUUUGGCGGGACCGCUCGGUCUCGAGCCGCUGGGGAUUCGUCCCAGGCGAGCGCCCGCCAGAGUUAAACCAAACUCUUGUUAUUUAACCGGUCGUCUGAGUUAAAAUUUUGAAUAAAUCAAAACUUUCAACAACGGAUCUCUUGGUUCUCGCAUCGAUGAAGAACGCAGCGAAAUGCGAUAAGUAAUGUGAAUUGCAGAAUUCAGUGAAUCAUCGAAUCUUUGAACGCACAUUGCGCCCCUUGGUAUUCCGAGGGGCAUGCCUGUUCGAGCGUCAUUACACCACUCAAGCUAUGCUUGGUAUUGGGCGUCGUCCUUAGUUGGGCGCGCCUUAAAGACCUCGGCGAGGCCACUCCGGCUUUAGGCGUAGUAGAAUUUAUUCGAACGUCUGUCAAAGGAGAGGAACUCUGCCGACUGAAACCUUUAUUUUUCUAGGUUGACCUCGGAUCAGGUAGGGAUACCCGCUGAACUUAAGCAUAUCAAUAAGCGGGAGAAAA
rnacentral:rRNA from 1 species